rnacentral:rRNA from 2 species
GAGCGAACUGAUUAGAAGCUUGCUUCUAUGACGUUAGCGGCGGACGGGUGAGUAACACGUGGGCAACCUGCCUGUAAGACUGGGAUAACUUCGGGAAACCGAAGCUAAUACCGGAUAGGAUCUUCUCCUUCAUGGGAGAUGAUUGAAAGAUGGUUUCGGCUAUCACUUACAGAUGGGCCCGCGGUGCAUUAGCUAGUUGGUGAGGUAACGGCUCACCAAGGCAACGAUGCAUAGCCGACCUGAGAGGGUGAUCGGCCACACUGGGACUGAGACACGGCCCAGACUCCUACGGGAGGCAGCAGUAGGGAAUCUUCCGCAAUGGACGAAAGUCUGACGGAGCAACGCCGCGUGAGUGAUGAAGGCUUUCGGGUCGUAAAACUCUGUUGUUAGGGAAGAACAAGUACGAGAGUAACUGCUCGUACCUUGACGGUACCUAACCAGAAAGCCACGGCUAACUACGUGCCAGCAGCCGCGGUAAUACGUAGGUGGCAAGCGUUAUCCGGAAUUAUUGGGCGUAAAGCGCGCGCAGGCGGUUUCUUAAGUCUGAUGUGAAAGCCCACGGCUCAACCGUGGAGGGUCAUUGGAAACUGGGGAACUUGAGUGCAGAAGAGAAAAGCGGAAUUCCACGUGUAGCGGUGAAAUGCGUAGAGAUGUGGAGGAACACCAGUGGCGAAGGCGGCUUUUUUGGUCUGUAAC